GCGAGGCCGACAGGCGUAGUCGAUGGACAACGGUUGAUAUUCCCGUACCGGCGAAAUGGCGCCCAUGAUGAGCCCGGUGAUGCUAACCACCCAAAGCACCUCGUAUCAAUGCCUUCGGGCUGCGAGCUUGGUGUGGAGCGUGGGACCCGACCCGGUAGUAGUCAAGCGAUGGGGUGACACAGGAAGGUAGCCCAACCGCCGCGAUGGUAGACGGCGGGUAAGCAUGUAGGGGGUGUGGUAGGCAAAUCCGCCACACGGCCGUUUGAUCGGUGGCCCUGAGAUGUGAUGCCGACCCCGUAGGGGGAAGUGGGUGAUCCUAUGCUGUCGAGAAAAACCUCUAGCGAGCCAUGAGCCGCCCGUACCCGAAACCGACUCAGGUGAUCAGGUAGAGAAUACCGAGGCGAUCGAGACAACCAUGGUUAAGGAACUCGGCAAAAUGCCCCGUAACUUCGGGAGAAGGGGGGCCUGGAUCGUGUAGCCGCUUGCCGGUGUAGCGUGAAGGGCCGCAGAGACCAGGGGAAAGCGACUGUUUACUAAAAACACAGGUCCGUGCGAAGUUGUAAGACGAUGUAUACGGACUGACUCCUGCCCGGUGCUGGAAGGUUAAGAGGACGGGUUAGACCGCAAGUCGAAGCUCAGAAUUUAAGCCCCAGUAAACGGCGGUGGUAACUAUAACCAUCCUAAGGUAGCGAAAUUCCUUGUCGGGUAAGUUCCGACCUGCACGAAUGGAGUAACGACUUUCCUACUGUCUCAACCAUGGACUCGGCGAAAUUGCACUACGAGUAAAGAUGCUCGUUACGCGCGGCAGGACGGAAAGACCCCGGGACCUUUACUAUAGUUUGGCAUUGGUGUUUGGUUCGGCUUGUGUAGGAUAGGUGGGAGACUGUGAAACCUCGACGCCAGUUGGGGUGGAGUCAACGUUGAAAUACCACUCUGGUCGUACUAGAUGUCUAACCUAGGGCCAUGAUCUGGUUCAGGGACAGUGCCUGAUGGGUAGUUUAACUGGGCGGUUGCCUCCCAAAGAGUAACGGAGGCGCUCAAAGGUUCCCUCAGCCUGGUUGGCAAUCAGGUGUUGAGUGUAAGUGCACAAGGGAGCUUGACUGUGAGACAGACAUGUCGAGCAGGGACGAAAGUCGGAACUAGUGAUCCGGCAACUGCGAGUGGAAGCGUUGUCGCUCAACGGAUAAAAGGUACCCCGGGGAUAACAGGCUGAUCUUCCCCAAGAGUCCAUAUCGACGGGAUGGUUUGGCACCUCGAUGUCGGCUCGUCGCAUCCUGGGGCUGGAGUAGGUCCCAAGGGUUGGGCUGUUCGCCCAUUAAAGCGGCACGCGAGCUGGGUUUAGAACGUCGUGAGACAGUUCGGUCCCUAUCCGCCGCGCGCGUAGGAAACUUGAGAAAGGCUGUCCCUAGUACGAGAGGACCGGGAUGGACGAACCUCUGGUGUGCCAGUUGUACCGCCAGGUGCAUGGCUGGUUGGCUACGUUCGGAAGUGAUAACCGCUGAACGCAUCUAAGCGGGAAGCACGUUUCAAGAUGAGGUUUCCCACCCCUUGUGGGUUAAGGCCCCCAAAAGAUGAUUGGGUUGAUAGGCCGGAGGUGUACAGCAGCAAUGCCCAGCCGACCGGUACUAAUAGGCCGAAGACUUGCCACAACA
rnacentral:rRNA from 1 species